rnacentral:tRNA from 1 species
GGGCCCGUAGCCUAGCCAGGAUUAAGGCGUUGGCCUUCGGAGCCGGAGAUCCGGGGUUCAAAUCCCCGCGGGCCCG